rnacentral:piRNA from 1 species
GACGAAGCUUCUGAAAUGGGAGUUGGUGU